UCCCGUGUGGCUUCGACACUCGCUGUUGUUUAGGGAACUAUAUUUCCUCGGCUCUCCGGCUCUUGCUGUGCUCAGGGAAAAGCAAUGGUCUUCCAGCCAUUUGACAGAUUUAUUUUUGGAGCAUUUGCGUUGUUGGAAAGAGUAGAUCCAUCUGUCGUGACACCAAGGAUUUCAUUAUAGCUCACAGCUUUGCGGUGAACGUUUGUAGGAUUCUCAAUCGAACCUCUGACCGCAGCAUUACCAUCGGAUUCAUCUCAGAUAAUAAAACCCAGAUUUAAACAUUGUUGCUGCGGAGGACUCAGGAUUUGAGAUCCUAUAGUCCAAAGGAUAUAAAUGUGUUCAAACUUGAUCUCUUCAUCAAGAUCUCGGUCUAGAAACAUCUUGAAGGAAUGGAGGAGAUGUUGGCAGCUCGUCUCGCCUCCGUUUCCAACCUGAGACACAUUCUUUUCUUCUGGAAGUAAAACUGUCCAUGCCUCUAAUUUACUGUUAAAGCCUGGUUUGGUGGUUGCGCUCAUGUUUUCUUGUGCACAAGAUUCACAUACAGGCCUUUGCACAUAAAACGAAAAACAAAGCAUAAAAAGAACCAUUAUCUAAAUGUAUAUGAUUUUAUAACUUGGGACAUUUCCCAGUCAUUUUUUUCCUGCCGUAGCAAAAUCAGAAACACACUCACUGGUAGUUUAGCACCCGCAGAUUUCGUACACAGGGUAAAACACGCUAAGUUUAAAGAACAAAACCAUUGAGCUUCAAAAAUUUAGUCAGGCCUCAAUCCUUGGCAGCCGUUUCUUUCCCUGGCGAGUACAAGUCUGAUAACAAAAGUGCAUUUGUUAACUCUGAAGCCUUUUUUUCUUCACAGUUCAAAGGAAAGGCAAUUGAUUGCUGAAGGGAAAGGACAGCAACACAAUAGAAGAUGUCAAACAGCAUGGGAAGCCCUGUCUAAUGUCUUACAUCAGUGCUGUAUACACUACUCUUCGGGAGCCUGAGAUUUCAGUCUUUGGAAACAUGGGGGCUUAUUGGGUGAAGACAGAGGGACUUCUUUCAGUGUUGUCUGAAGCAGCAUUAUCCUCUCUGCUGCCUCCGUCAGGUCUGGAGAAUCCUCACAUUAAUGUAAUUUUACUGCAAGCUUUGGCUUAAAACAACUUUAAAAAUGUAUAUUUACAUUAAGCUGCUUCUUUUUUAAAAUGUGUCAGUUGUUUAAACUUUAUACUGACACCUGUCAGUGUGGAUGCAUGGAAUGUAUUU